AAUUUCAAGGUUGCGGCUACAACAUCAAUGGGUUGCCGAUCCAUGGGUUUAUUGUCGAUGGCGGCGGCGAUGGGUUGUCGUGCCGCGGCUACAACGGCGAUAGGUUGCCGAAAUUGAAACCAAUCAAAGAUGAUUCGAACCAAUGGAGUCUAGCAGCGGAUAUGAGAUCCAAAGAAUGAUGUUUGUAUCCCAAAGAAUUUCCUUUUUGAGUUGAUGUGUUGAUUCCAAGUAUCUUAAAGAAUGGUACUGCUCACGCUUUGUAGAAGAUGAAGAUCGAAGAAAUUAUUGAAGAUGAUAAUGAGAUGGUCAAUUGAUUUUUGUGAAUUGAACAAGAGUGGUCUAUGCAUUUGAAGUGUCCACUACAUUUUCUUGUCUUUUGGUAUAAUUUUUGUUGUAACCAAUGGUCUAUGUAGUUGAAGUGUCGAUGUAACUUUGCACUUAUUCUAAUAAAAAUGACCUUAAAAUUAUGAAGAA